GAUGAACGCUGGCGGCGUGCCUAAUACAUGCAAGUCGAGCGAACGGACGAGAAGCUUGCUUCUCUGAUGUUAGCGGCGGACGGGUGAGUAACACGUGGAUAACCUACCUAUAAGACUGGGAUAACUUCGGGAAACCGGAGCUAAUACCGGAUAAUAUUUUGAACCGCAUGGCUCAAAAGUAAAAGACGGUCUUGCUGUCACUUAUAGAUGGAUCCGCGCUGCAUUAGCUAGUUGGUAAGGUAACGGCUUACCAAGGCAACGAUGCAUAGCCGACCUGAGAGGGUGAUCGGCCACACUGGAACUGAGACACGGUCCAGACUCCUACGGGAGGCAGCAGUAGGGAAUCUUCCGCAAUGGGCGAAAGCCUGACGGAGCAACGCCGCGUGAGUGAUGAAGGUCUUCGGAUCGUAAAACUCUGUUAUUAGGGAAGAACAUAUGUGUAAGUAACUGUGCACAUCUUGACGGUACCUAAUCAGAAAGCCACGGCUAACUACGUGCCAGCAGCCGCGGUAAUACGUAGGUGGCAAGCGUUAUCCGGAAUUAUUGGGCGUAAGCGCGCGUAGGCGGUUUUUUAAGUCUGAUGUGAAAGCCCACGGCUCAACCGUGGAGGGUCAUUGGAAACUGGAAAACUUGAGUGCAUAAGAGGAAAGUGGAAUUCCAUGUGUAGCGGUGAAAUGCGCAGAGAUAUGGAGGAACACCAGUGGCGAAGGCGACUUUCUGGUCUGUAACUGACGCUGAUGUGCGAAAGCGUGGGGAUCAAACAGGAUUAGAUACCCUGGUAGUCCACGCCGUAAACGAUGAGUGCUAAGUGUUAGGGGGUUUCCGCCCCUUAGUGCUGCAGCUAACGCAUUAAGCACUCCGCCUGGGGAGUACGACCGCAAGGUUGAAACUCAAAGGAAUUGACGGGGACCCGCACAAGCGGUGGAGCAUGUGGUUUAAUUCGAAGCAACGCGAAGAACCUUACCAAAUCUUGACAUCCUUUGACAACUCUAGAGAUAGAGCUUUCCCCUUCGGGGGACAAAGUGACAGGUGGUGCAUGGUUGUCGUCAGCUCGUGUCGUGAGAUGUUGGGUUAGGUCCCGCAACGAGCGCAACCCUUAAGCUUAGUUGCCAUCAUUAAGUUGGGCACUCUAAGUUGACUGCCGGUGACAAACCGGAGGAAGGUGGGGAUGACGUCAAAUCAUCAUGCCCCUUAUGAUUUGGGCUACACACGUGCUACAAUGGACAAUACAAAGGGCAGCGAAACCGCGAGGUCAAGCAAAUCCCAUAAAGUUGUUCUCAGUUCGGAUUGUAGUCUGCAACUCGACUACAUGAAGCUGGAAUCGCUAGUAAUCGUAGAUCAGCAUGCUACGGUGAAUACGUUCCCGGGUCU
rnacentral:rRNA from 1 species